GAUGAACGCUGGCGGCGUGCUUAACACAUGCAAGUCGAACGAGAAGUGAAGACGGAAACCUUCGGGCGGAAGGCUUUAUUUCGAGUGGCGGACAGGUGAGUAACGCGUGGGUAACCUGCCUCAUACAGGGGGAUAACAGUUGGAAACGACUGUUAAUACCGCAUAAGACCACAGCACCGCAUGGUGCGGGGGUAAAAACUCCGGUGGUAUGAGAUGGACCCGCGUUCGAUUAGCCAGUUGGCGGGGUAACGGCCCACCAAAGCGACGAUCGAUAGCCGAUCUGAGAGGAUGACCGGCCACAUUGGGACUGAGACACGGCCCAAACUCCUACGGGAGGCAGCAGUGGGGAAUAUUGCACAAUGGGGGAAACCCUGAUGCAGCGACGCCGCGUGAGUGAAGAAGUAUUUCGGUAUGUAAAGCUCUAUCAGCAGGGAAGAAAAUGACGGUACCUGAGUAAGAAGCCCCGGCUAACUACGUG
rnacentral:rRNA from 1 species